rnacentral:lncRNA from 1 species
GUACAAAAAUUAGAUUUUAUAUCCUACAAAAAUGACGUACAAAAAUGAGUUAUUAUGACGUACAAAAAUAAAGUGAAAUGAGUGUAGGUCCACUAAAAAAAAUUGUUAUAUUAUAGAGGUUAUUUUGCAGAGGUUACAAAAUCCCUCAACAAAUUAACUUUAUUUAAAAUAGUUAAAUGGUUUCUUUUUAGUUUUAAUGUUUUUCUUAAGAGGUCUAUGACCUCCACCUUUCUGAACAAUUUUUCAAACCUAAAGCUUUUCUGAAAAAUUUCCCAAACCUAACUCACAUUUUUUCCAACAUUUCACUCCUCUCCCCCUUCUCUAUUUCGUCCGAGCAUUUUCCCCUUUUCGUCUUCACACAAACCUUUGUCAAACCUAAGUUCAAAAAACUUCUGAAUUUCUUUCCCCCAUUUCCUACCUUUCUUCUUUGGGCUAGCUAUUCUAUAGUUCCUUCGUGGUUUGUCUGUCUCCUCAUUUUAGCGUGGUCCUUUAGGUUAUCAUCUUCCUUAGCCCAUUAUCGUUCGUGGUCUCCGUUCUCAAAUCAUUGGUGGUUUCUGUCGCCGUUACAGUGCUCUCUGUUGCCAUCCACUUUUGCCACUGUUGUGGUCUCAGUUGCCCUGGCCGUUGCGGUGGCUGUUUCGUCGUCAAUGGUCAUGAUUGCCCUAGUCGUUGCGGUCGUCUUCUGCCCCUAAGAUUCAACAGGGUCUUCCAGGUAUUUUUUUAUUAUGAUUUUGAUUAUUCCUGCAAAAGGUUUUUUACUUUGAGCAUUAUCUGAGAAUUUGUUGGCAUUCCUAUCUGGGAAAGCUAAUAUACUUGAAGGUAUCCAUGGUUGGGAACUCAGGACAGCUUUCCUGGACCAGGAUUUUUGCGGUGGAUGGAGAAGUAAGUUUCUAUUAUAACAUCAGUAAUUUCUGGGUGGAUUUUUUCUUAAUUUUCCCAUUGUCACUUAUUUGAUUUUAUAUACUUUUAUCUGUUGCUAAGUUAGAACUCAGACUAUUGGUAUGGAAUAAGAGAAUCACUAUUUAAUUGUCUAAAGCCUUUAGUUCAAUUAUUAUAAUUUGUUUGCUAAUGUUCUUUAUAAUAUUAUUAUAUUUUCCAUUAUAUAUUUAGUUGUGCUAUUUACCAAUCGAUUGAAUGCACGCUGGUAAUUAAAAAAAGGCGCACCUAUGCAUGUCAGCAUUUUGGUGUUAAUUAGGUCAUGUCUACAACACUUGGAUACUAAAAGAAUUAAUAAACAAUGCAAGCAACAAAGAACUAUAUUACUGAAGAAACCGAAUUCGGAAAGAAUCUACUUACGCUUUAUAUUUUCUUAUUUAUUAAAAAUACUGUAUGUGUACUGCAUUUUAUUAUUUCUUUUACAUUUUUGUACCAUACAAUCUACUUUCUUUUCUUCUAAUGUUUUGUUUUUCUGAUUCUUUGAAAAUUUAGAGUUUAUAUCAUUCAUUCAAUCUUAUUUUGGAAUGAAUACCUUUACAGGUGAAUCCAGGUGCAUAAGUUAUAUCAUUGUUGACUUUGUUACUUGUAUGUUAUGUAUCAGCAUUUUACUUUUACAUUUAUGUGCACAUUGUUUGAUCAAUUGUUCAUGCCAAGGGUUACUGAAUUUGUUGCAUUAAACAUGAUGAAUUUGCCAGCUUGCCAACCAUUGUUCGAAAAGGUUCCAUUGCCAUCAUAGGUUUGGUAAUUCUUUUAAGAAGGAUAUUAUAGUCUGGGAAUUUCUAAAUAUCUGUGAACUUGUAAGUAAUCAAACACUAGUGAACUUCUAAAUAUUUGUAGGUGAAUUUCCUUUGUUACACGUGCAUGCUAGAUACCCAAACAUUAGGGAAUAAUCCUUGUAAUAUACAUCCUUCGAAGUCAAGCACUUAUAUUGCAUCAACAAUGAUUAAUACUGACUUUGGAAACAUUGAUAUUUGUUUAAUUAUGGUUUUGGAUUUGUGCUUAAAGGGAUUUUAAAUUAGCAUGUGUUUCAAUCUUAAAUAUAUCUUUUUAUUUGAAAUUGUUACCAGAAUGGAUGAAGGCAGGGAACCUAUGAAGAAAGUUGCCAAUUAAUCAAAGCAAGAUCAAUCGUGGAAUGAUUCAAGUUGCCAUUUUUUCCACUUGAAGACAGAGAGAGGCCACAUUGCAUAUUACACAAUUUUUAAAGUCUGAAGAUUUUGUCUUAGCUUAUGCUCUUGUUAAGUCUAGUUGAAUUUCUUUAAACAUCAUGUAUUUUUUUUAUAUUUGUAUUGUAAUAGUCAAUAAAUGUAUUUUAUCUUAAAUCAUCAAUAAAAUUAAUUUUGAUUAA